rnacentral:tRNA from 1 species
UGGCUGAUCGUCCAAUGGCAGGACUACGGACUCUGACUCCGUCAAUCUAGGUUCGAAUCCUAGUCAGCCAG